CUUGAGAGGGUGACCGGCCACAUUGGGACUGAGACACGGCCCAGACUCCUACGGGAGGCAGCAGUGGGGAAUAUUGCACAAUGGAGGAAACUUUGAUGCAGCGACGCCGCGUGAGUGAAGAAGUAAUUCGUUAUGUUAAAGAUCUAUCAGCAGGGAAGAUAGGACGGUACCUGACUAAGAAGCUCCGGCUAAAUACGUGCCAGC
rnacentral:rRNA from 1 species